GUGUUAUAUGAAAGGAGUGCUCCCCUCAUCAAGGAUGGAAGAGGCCCUCAAGUCCUGACAACAGACAUACGGUUAUGGCACUGCCACCUACCACAUGGCUUCUAAGCACUGUUUAAA
ensembl:snRNA